rnacentral:rRNA from 1 species
GCUCUUUAGAGCUUCUUAGUAAUUUAUAAUAACUUUACAGAUUGCAUAGCCUUGCGCCGGCAACAGUUUAUUUAAAUUUCUGCCCUAUUAACUUUCGAUAGUAAGGUAUUAGCUUACUAUAGUUUUAACAGGUAACGGGGAAUUAGGGUUUAAUUCUAGAGAGGGAGCCUAAGAAACAGCUACUACAUCUAAGGAAGGCAGCAGGCGCGCAAAUUACCUAAUCCUAACAUAGGGAGGUAGUAACAAUAAAUACUGAUACAGGGCUCUUUUAGGUCUUAUAAUUAGAAUAAGUAUAAUUUAAACCUCUUAACGAGGAAUAAUUAAAGGGCAAGUCUAGUGCUAGCAGCUGCAGUAAUUCUAGCUCUAAUAGCGUAUAUUAAAGUUAUUGCAGUUAAAAAGCUUAUAGUUAAACCUUAGGUCUAGCUAGCAGGUCCGCCUUACUGCGUGUACUUAUCUAGCUGGGCCUUCCUUCUAGAGAACCUCAUGCCCUUUACUAGGCGUAUUAGGGACUAGGACUUUUACUUUAAAAAAAUUAGAGUGUUUAAAGCAGGCCUUUGCUUAAAUACGUUAGCAUAGAAUAAUAGAAUAGAACGUGCAGUCCUAUUUUGUUAGUUUCUAGGACUGCUGUAAUAAUUAAUAGGGACAGUUAGAGGCAUUAGUAUUCAAUUGUUAGAGGUAAAAUUCUUGGAUUUAUUAAAGACUAACUACUGCGAAAGCAUUUGCUAAGGAUGUUUUUAUUAAUUAGUGAACGAAAGUUAGAGGAUUAAAGACGAUUAGAUACUAUUGUAGUCUUAACUAUAAACUAUGCUAACUAGAAAUUAGGCGAUGUUCUUUUUCUAACUCGCUCAGCACCUUAUAAGAAAUUAAAGUUUUUAAGUUCUAGGGGGAGUAUAGUCGCAAGGCUAAAACUUAAAGAAAUUGACGGAAGGGCACUACUAGGCGUAGAGCCUGCAGCUUAAUUUGACUUAAUAUAGAGAAACUUACUAGGUCUAGAUAAAAUAAAGAUUGACAGAUUAAGAGCUCUUUCUUAAUUUUUCAGGUAGUAGUGCAUAGCUAUUCUUAGUUAGUAGAGUGAUUUGUCUGCUUAAUUGCGAUAACGAAUAAGACCUUAACCUGCUAAAUAGCUAGGCUAGCUUUAGCUAGUUGCCAGCUUCUUAGAGGGACUAUUAGCUUAAGCUAAUAGAAGUUUAAGGCAAUAACAGGUCUAUGAUGCUCUUAGAUAUUCUAGGCUGCACGCGCGCUACACUGACAGAGCUAAUAAGUUCUUUACCUUAGCUAAAAGGUCUAGGUAAUCUUGUUAAACUCUGUCGUGCUAGAGAUAGAGCAUUGCAAUUAUUACUCUUUAACGAGGAAUACCUAGUAAGCGCGUGUUAUUAGCAUGC